CAAUCACAAGUAACACCUGAGGUCCCAGUUGCACAGAAAGUUCUCUGAGCUAAGAGAGAUUGGGAGAAGCUAAAAGGCCAGAUGGAAAGGGAAAGGGGAGCUGAAGUUAGUAUAUAUGGGGGGAACUGGAGAUCAGUUUGGUCUUUUCUGAGGUUGAUCUGUAAGGAGGAGUAACUAGCCCUGUUUUGGAAAGAGGCUAUAUUGAUAGUAAUUCUUGGUAGCCAAAUGAUAAACCUCAUAUUUGCUUCUAUCCUUAGAAAAAUAAGAGUUCUCAGUGAUUUCUAGCUAGAACUAUCUGGCAAGGUGAGAGCCCUUGUCCCUUUAAGAGGGAUUGUCAGGGCUAGGUAAACAACAACAGAGUUAUGGUGGGUGAAAUUCCUUGUAAAGGCUUCUGAAUAAGAGGUUGGAAGGCAGGUAUGCCGUGAUAUACCUUACCUUAUUGACUGCCUUACCCUGGCUGAGUUAGAUGUUUUUAGUGAAUAAAUUGCUAGGGAUCCUUGGACCCUACAUCCAGAAGUUAAAGGAGUGUGGAGAAGCUAAGACACCGCUACGUCUAAAGGAGGAUCCUGGGAGAGGUCUGACACAGGCCAGUGAAGAUUCUCUUUCAGAACACUGGCCUUGGGAGCUCUGCCCAGCCAGCACAACCACCUUGGAAACAUUGGAGACGCUAAAAUUGUCAGUGAAGUUAUCAAAACACAGAGACAGAUCGUUGGAUUUCCGCUGCUCUGCAUCUCUCCAUGAUAAGAAAAUUCUACGGAUACACUACCAAAAUGAUUGCAGAUGGAGAGCGAGGUGUUCUGGGAGAGAUGUGUCCAUGGUGUCGCUAAGGAUCGAAAACAACUCUAUGGCAUAAAACAAGAUACAACAUAAUCAGGUUACUGACUAGUGCCUGGUGAUACUACAGGUCUUUCCUGUCUGGCAUCCCCAGUGGCACCACCACCAGUACUAUGCUGAGAAGCCGUGUGGCCCAGUGGAAAGAGCAUUGGCUUGGGAUGCAGAAGAACUGGGUUCUAAUCCCAAAAUUACCAGCUGCCUUCAGUCAUGAUCUGAAGCAAGUUACUAACUACUCUGUGCUUCAGUUCCCUCAACUAUAAAAUGGGGAUUCAAUGUCUGUUCUCUUUCUUACCUAUAUUGUGAGCUCUAUGUAAGACAGGGAUUGUCUUGUAUCUACUCAAUUGUUAUUACAGAGUUCAUUUUAUUGUCAUUAAAUGCUUAACAAAUACCAUAAUCAUUAUUAUUAUCUCAAAAGAGAGUCAGGCUUAUCAUCAAUAUCUGAUCCUUUUUCACAAGUUAGAAGACUAACUACAAAAAAUCGGAGAAACAGCAUGGCCUACUGGAUAGAGCUCAGGUUUAGGAGUCAGAAGGACCUGGACUUUAAUUCCAGCU